ACAGGAAAAUUGUUUGAGCCCAGGAGGUGGAGGUUGCAGUGAGCUGAGAUCACACCACUGCACUCCAGCCUAGGUGACAGAG
rnacentral:snRNA from 1 species